CCUAAGGUAGCGAAAUUCCUUGUCGGGUAAGUUCCGACCUGCACGAAUGGCGUAAUGAUGGCCAGGCUGUCUCCACCCGAGACUCAGUGAAAUUGAACUCGCUGUGAAGAUGCAGUGUACCCGCGGCAAGACGGAAAGACCCCGUGAACCUUUACUAUAGCUUGACACUGAACAUUGAGCCUUGAUGUGUAGGAUAGGUGGGAGGCUUUGAAGCGUGGACGCCAGUCUGCGUGGAGCCAACCUUGAAAUACCACCCUUUAAUGUUUGAUGUUCUAACGUAGGCCCCUGACCGGGGUUGCGGACAGUGUCUGGUGGGUAGUUUGACUGGGGCGGUCUCCUCCCAAAGAGUAACGGAGGAGCACGAAGGUUAGCUAAUCCUGGUCGGACAUCAGGAGGUUAGUGCAAUGGCAUAAGCUAGCUUGACUGCGAGCGUGACGGCGCGAGCAGGUGCGAAAGCAGGUCAUAGUGAUCCGGUGGUUCUGAAUGGAAGGGCCAUCGCUCAACGGAUAAAAGGUACUCCGGGGAUAACAGGCUGAUACCGCCCAAGAGUUCAUAUCGACGGCGGUGUUUGGCACCUCGAUGUCGGCUCAUCACAUCCUGGGGCUGAAGUAGGUCCCAAGGGUAUGGCUGUUCGCCAUUUAAAGUGGUACGCGAGCUGGGUUUAGAACGUCGUGAGACAGUUCGGUCCCUAUCUGCCGUGGGCGCUGGAGAAUUGAGGGGGGCUGCUCCUAGUACGAGAGGACCGGAGUGGACGCAUCACUGGUGUUCGGGUUGUCAUGCCAAUGGCACUGCCCGGUAGCUAAAUGCGGAAGAGAUAAGUGCUGAAAGCAUCUAAGCACGAAACUUGCCCCGAGAUGAGUUCUCCCUGAGACUUUAAGUCUCCUGAAGGAACGUUGAAGACGACGACGUUGAUAGGCCGGGUGUGUAAGCGCAGCGAUGCGUUGAGCUAACCGGUACUAAUGAACCGUGAGGCUUAACCUU
rnacentral:rRNA from 1 species